UACGUAGGUGGCAAGCGUUGUCCGGAUUUAUUGGGUUUAAAGGGUGCGUAGGCGGCUUUGUAAGUCAGUGGUGAAAUACUCUAGCUUAACUAGAGGGGUGCCAUUGAUACUGCAGAGCUUGAGUACAGAUGAGGUAGGCGGAAUUGACGGUGUAGCGGUGAAAUGCAUAGAUAUCGUCAAGAACACCGAUAGCGAAGGCAGCUUACUGGGCUGUAACUGACGCUGAUGCACGAAAGUGUGGGGAUCAAACAGG
rnacentral:rRNA from 1 species